UGCACCACUUCAAUUUAUAACAUCAAACAUUUAUUACUUGAGCUCCAUUUCUUUUCACCAAAAAGAGUUUGAUAUUGUAUUACACUACUUUUUUCUUCAAUUCUUGUUUUAGAUUUGGCAAUAAUGGCAAACCAUGGAGAGCGAUAUGGGCAGGAGCAGGGACAGGGGCAGCAGCAGCGAGGGACAGACGCUUAUGGGAAUCCAGUUGGACAAACAGAACAGUUCGGGAACCCAAUCCACCAAACUGGGGGAGGUACCUUGGAUGGCUGUGGUACCGGAGGAGCGGCCGGUACCGAAGCCUAUGGCUCUGCUGGCACAGGCAUGCAUGGCACUGGUGCACAUGAUCAGUCGCAGCUUCGCCGAUCCGGUAGUUCCAGCUCUGUAAGUGCCUACAUAUAUAUAUUUCCAGCUCUGUAAUUUGUAUAUAUUGAUGUGAUUGGAGCACAUAUAUAACUGUAAUUUGUAUAUAUAUACAGUCUGAGGAUGAUGGAAUGGGAGGGAGGAAGAAGAAAGGGAUAAAAGAGAAGAUAAAGGAGAAGUUACCGGGUGUUGGCGGGCACAAGGAGGGGGAGCAGGCUAUUUAUUCACCUGUAGGAGGAGGAUAUGCUGCAGGAGAAGAGCAGCACCACGGCCACGAGAAGAAAGGAAUGAUGGAAAAGAUUAAGGGGCACAAUAAGGAGGGGGAGCAGGCUACUUAUUCACCUGCAGGGGGAGGAUAUGUUGCAGGAGACGAGCAGCACCACGUCCAGGAGAAGAAAGGAAUGAUGGAAAAGAUUAAGGAGAAGCUGCCCGGUGGUGGCCGCGACUGAUUCAUUUCGAUAUGAAUGAUCAUAUAUACCUCCACUGGUGGAAGCUUGAUAUAUAUAUAUAUAUAUAUAUUUCUGUGUAUAAAUAAUUUGUAGUACGUACGUAUACGUAGCUACAAAUGACACCACGCAUGCAGUAUGUAGUACUACCACCUGUGUCAGUGUGUGUGAUUUAGUGCGGUGGAAUUAUGGUUGUAUUGUUAAGGGUGUUUGUCUGUUCUUUCCUUCAAAUAAGAGCCACGAUGGCUCUGCUAAUGCUUAUUUUAUAUAUAUAUAUAUAUAUAUAUAUAUAUAUAUCCUGUACGGGUACGUCAGAAGCCAUCCACUGAUGCACUGCGUUUUUUCUGUGUUGGAAUAUAGAACAGUAUUAA
rnacentral:lncRNA from 1 species